rnacentral:misc_RNA from 1 species
GAUGAAGAACGUAGCGAAAUGCGAUAAGUAAUGUGAAUUGCAGAAUUCAGUGUAUCAUCGAAUCUUUGAACGCACAUUGCGCCCGCCAGUAUUCUGGCGGGCAUGCCUGUUCGAGCGUCAUUUCAACCAUCAAGCCCCCGGCUUGUGUUGGGGACCUGCGGCUGCCGCAGGCCCUGAAAACCAGUGGCGGGCUCGCUAGUCACUCCGAGCGUAGUAAUACAUCUCGCUCAGGGCGUGCUGCGGGUUCCGGCCGUUAAAAAGCCUUAUUUACCCAAGGUUGACCUCGGAUCAGGUAGGAAGACCCGCUGAACUUAAGCAUAUCAAUAAGCGGAGGA